GAAAAUUUCUUUUUUUCUGAUCUGUGUUUCAGUCUCACCAGCGAUUUAUGGAGUUGGCUCUUGGUUUUACAAAGUGCUUCAGUUUUUACAUUGAAAGGCCAGACAUGAUCACACUGGAACACCAGUUGUCCAGCUACAGAAGUUCUGACUUUCCGGGCAAGUCUUUUGAACUUUUAACUUGGUGAAAAUAGAGUCGUUGGCUUGCAUGCAGAAGUUGUCUUCUGGAAGUGAUCCAGGGCUUAGAGUAGUCAAUCCUGCCAUUUUCUCCAUCUUUCCAAGAUGUCACCACUGGAGUUCUGUCCACAACAGGGUUGAUUUGAGCUGCGAUGGUGUCCAGUGAAACAGGAAGUUCAGAGCUGAGAUUGAGCAAAACUGACAGGGAAGUCAAUUCACUGUCCCAAAUUGAUCAGAUUGGCUGGCAACUUGGGGAUUGCAGCCCAGCCAAAGCAGUUUGCCUUCUUGGUUCAUUCUGACAAACUAUAAAUCCUCCAAAACUGCUGGUAAGCUCGUGAAACCAAUUCGUUUUUGUUGCCAAUAUUAACAACUUUUUUUUGGAUUACUAAAGGAGACGACAUACUAAUCAACAGUCCAACACCAUCAAACUCUUCUGGCAGAUAUAAUAAAACCCUUUUUACAAUGACUGAUGAUGUUUUUGGAUCCUUCUGAAGUUUGAUUUUUUUUUUUAAAAAGGCAAGUUUCUCCACAGAGUCAGAAGGAUAUAAACUGGGCUGCCAGAGCUGAGCCAUCUUUGCUCCACAACAAGCAGGGCUCCCGGCAGACAUGUGCUUGGGGAGAAAGCAGACGCUCCCUUUGAUCUGUUAAAGUCUCUCCAGAAAUACACGAGGGCUGAUACCUUGUGUGCAGUCUCAGAGCAGAAACUCAAAGUUUUUGGAUGAUCCAAAGAAAGCAGCUCCUUCCAAAAAGAAAGCAAGUUUUAAAGAGGCAUGCAUUGGGCACAUUGUUGACAAAGUUCAAAUUCUCCACCUCAUUGCACAACCUUCCAUUUAGUUUUCUGGUAGAGGCGAAAGUUUAAAACAGUGGUGAGUCGUCUGUGGUCAGGAGCCUGCCUCGCUUCAACAAGCAUCAGGAAAUGUACUCCAUGUUGCUAUUUCUCAAAUAUGUACAAACAUCAGUGCUAAAUUUUUCAUCACAUGUCUAAUAAUAAUAUCAUUAGAAUUAUAAAAAGAAUAUUAAAAAUCAUACUAACAAUCAGCAUAUAUUACAUUUUACUCUGUGCCAGGCACGGUAUCAAGUGUCGAUGUGCCUAUCUUGGAGUUGGUAUUAUUAUUAGCCCCAUUUUAUAGAUGAGGACACCGAGGUUGAGAAAAAUAAUUUGCCCAAAGUUACGGAGUUAUUUAUUUAGCUUGGUAGAUCUAGUAUUUGAAUCCAGGCAGUGUAAAUCCAGAGCCUGAGAGCUUAACCUCUGAUAAAAGCUAACAUUAUGGAGCAUGCCCACCGUGUGCUAGGCAGCACUGUUCUGUGCUAUUAUUAUCACUUUGCAGAUAAGGAAAUAAAGUGGUAAAAAACUUGCCCAAGGUGACACUGCUAUCAAGGGUGGAGGUCAGAUUUAAACCCUGUCACUCUGAUCCUAGACUUUGAGCACUUAAUGUCUAAGUUUGUUCUACUGGUUAGAAUAUACAUAUUUCUUAUAGGAGUUAAUACAAGUAUUUUCAUUUUGAACUCUGAAAAGAUGGGAUCCGAAUUGCCUGGCCUUAAUCGGUUAUUCUAAGGAAAUGGCUGCCCUUCAUUGCUUAGGUAGUCUCAGGAUUAUUUUGCAGCCAGCUGGAUGGUUGGAUUUUUUUGCUGGUUUAUACUACCCUCUAGUGGUUCAUAGAAAAUUCUGAUGAUACGGCAAUUUGAUGACAAAGAAAUAGAAUGAGGUCUGUUAAGAGGAUUCCUUUGAAACAUAAAUGUAAGUCAUGAACAUGAAUUGAUAGUAUUUGUACUUUCAGUAUUUUCUGACUAAGAAAAAUACGUAAAGACAAAAAGCUACUAUGAAUUAAGUACCUCUUUAUGUGGAUAUAUUUUUAUUAAUGUCAAGAGUAUAGAUAUACAUGCAGAUAAGAUAUGCAUGCAUACGUGUGUGUAUAUGUGUGUGUUUGUGUGUAUGCAUCAUCCUGUUUCCAAUGUAUAGUUAUAUGUACCUAUAUGUUCACAUAGAUACAUAUAUACAUAAAUGUGUGUGAUUUAUUAAUAAUUUACAAGUCUUAGCUAUAGACAAUGUUUGGAGUACACUGAUGUCUUUGAAAGCCUCACGACAGCUCUUGAGCUAUCAUUUCAACCCAAUCACAAGCAAGGGGUUCUGAAUUAACACAAAAUCUUAGAUUAAUCAGAAUAUUCUCCAGCCAGGUAUAGGGUCUCCUUCCCUGGUGGUCUGUUUAAGAGGAAAUCCUGCUACAUGAGUACAUCACAGCCUUACUCAAGCCUCUCUUAUCCCCCAGUCUCCAACUCUGGGUGACCUUAGGAGGUGGAAGGGCAGUGGGAACAAUCUUUCCUUGGUACACAUAAAAGAUACACCAUUUAAAGAGAAUUUUAAAACAAUACAACCAACUUCAAAAUGGCCUGCUUUUUAUUAUCACCAUUAGCUGGCUAUUUUAUUUUAUUUUAUUUUAUUUUAUUUUAUUUUGCUUUUUAGGGCUGCACCUGUGGCCUAUGGAGGUUCCCAGACUAGGGGUCUAAUUGGAGCUACAGCUGCCAGGCUAUAUACCACAGCCACAACAAUGCCAGAUCCGAGCUGUGUCUGCGACAUAAACCACAGCUCACGGCAAUGCCGGAUCCUUAACCCACUGAGCGAGGCCAUGGUGGAACCCACAACCUCAUGGUUCCUAGUAGGAUUUGUUUCUGCUGUGCCAUGACGGGAACUCCCCAGCUGGCAAUUUUAAACACUGAGAAUGAUAACAUAAUUCUAAAAUUUUUUUUUGGUCUAAAUUCUAAACAACUACUUUGAUUUCUUUUCGUUUUAAUCACACAUACACAUUUGCAAUGAACACAUUUGUGUUACUUAUCCUCUCAUAAACAUUGUGUUCUUUAUUAUAGAAGUUAAUCUGGAGAAUUUCCAGUUAUGCAGUUGGCCUAUGACACAGGCCGACUAAGCUACCAGCUUUUUUUCAAGAGUAAGUUCAUGAUAAAUUGGAAUCAUUAAGCCUCAAUUUGGGUAUAGCUGACCCACAUAUUCCUGAGUCAAACUGUAGAUUUGAAAGAAUCAGUGAUAACACAGUGAUUAUAAAGAUAAACAAAAUUCAAUAACUUUAAUUCUGUCAUUCUCUAUAACCAGACAUAUUUGCAAACUGCCAGAAUCAACCUAGAACAACAUACAGUAAAAUGCUAUACUUUAGAAUUGUUCAUUGAAGGCUGGCAUGUAGAAAUUGUGGAGAAUACCAUUAACUCUGCAAAAAUAGAGCAUAAGGAAAAUGGACAUUCACAGAGUAAUGUUGGGAGAAACAGCAAAAGACUGGUCUUACAUUGCCAGAAGUAAUCAAGAGGACAAUGUUUAAAUGUUUCAAUCAUUUUCACUAAGAACUGGACCCUCAUUCUCAAAUAAAAGAUCAAAUGCA
rnacentral:lncRNA from 1 species